GAAGAAUAAAGUCAGGACAAAAUUGAUCGGACAUGAUCGGCAUUUAUCGUUGGGAACCUCUACCUCCUCAUCCGGUUUCUAACAGCUUUCAUCGGUAUUUCAAUUGACAUUGUUAAUCCAUUGGCAUUGAAGAAUUUUUUUGGUACACACCCAUUACUACGAAUCUCAGGAAUCAUUAAUAUUAUCUCCACACGUUGAUGUGCGGAUAUUCACAGCUCGACGAGAAGUCUUCCGAUCAUUCAUCACUUUCAUCGUAUGGGUAUCAAUGGAUCGGUAAAGUUUUGGAGUAUCUCCAAUUGAAUCGGUAUUUUAGAAGGCACGACACGAGCGAAGUAGGAACGGACAUAUAUUCGGAGGAUUGAAAGAGAAGCGUUGACGUGGAACUGAUUACAAAAAGCUUUUCAACGAUACCGAAUGCAGACUUAAUUGCUGGCAACCGCUUCCGCACGCGAGAGGCUUCUUAUCAGCAUUUAAAUACGUGCCACGGGUGACGUAACGGCGUAUAGAUUUCCAAGUGCAGAACCGCCUCACAGCUAUGCAAACUACGCACCUUGCCCUCACCGACGUGAAGUUGUGCAAUUAAGCUAAACAGAGGAGGAAUCUCACCUGAGUGUAAACCAGCGGCACGCAGACUGUGUCGUAACCGAUUAGGGCUCCCAGUCGCUUACGAAUGUCGCUAAGCUCGACAAGGAGAGUUUGGACGACCUGGUCGCUGGU